rnacentral:rRNA from 1 species
UAAGGAAUAUUGCUCAAUGGGAGAAAUCCUGAAGCAGCAACGCCGCGUGGAGGAUGAAGGGCUUUCAGCUUGUAAACUCCUGUAAAGAAGGAAAAAAUUCCCAUUAGAAGGCAAAUGAUGGUACUUCUAAAGUAAGCCCCGGCUAACUACGAGCCACCAGCCGCGGUCAUAGGUAGGGGGCAAGCGUUGUCCGGAUUUACUGGGUGUAAAGGGUGCUAAGGCGGAUUUGUAAGUCAGAGGGGAAAUCUCAGAGCUUAACUGUGAAACUGCCUUUGAGACUGCAAGUCUAGAGUAUGGAAGAGAGUGAUGGAAUGUCUGGUGUAGCAGUGAAAUGCGUAGAUAUCAGAUAGAACACCAAUGGCGAAGGCAGUCACUUGGUCCAUUACUGACGCUAAAGCACGAAAGCGUGGGUAGCAAACA